UCGAAGCAGGAAUCAUGCUAAGCUUGUUGUAGAUGAAACCUGAGAGGGAGAAACGUUGUGCAUUCCGUCUUCAGUCGGGAAAUCGAAGGAGGAAUCAUGCUAAUUAAGCUUGUUAAUUCGGAGAAGGAAAAGGAAAAAAAAGAGCUUGCUUCCAACUCGAAAAUCUCUGUGGAAUCGACGGUUCUAUCUUACAAGGGUUAGGGCAUGUCAUGCCAGCUUGCAUGCCGGAAACCUUCAUCUCCCAGGUCAGCGACAACAUUCUCAGGCUCCUCGACUCCAAUCUCGUGCCCUCGGCCUCCGCAAGCAAGUCCACAGUCUUCUAUUUGAAGAUAAAGGGGGAUUACCAUCGCUACUUGGCCGAGUUCAAGUCCGAGGAUAAGAGGAAAGCCGUUGCUGAGGAUUCCAUGCUCGCAUAUUAGGCUGCUCUGUCUUCAAGCUACGAACGACGUCAUUCAAAGUUUUUGCCACGUCAAACACGAUGCUGCGGGGGUGCCCCACGCUGCUUGUCUAUAGAUUUUUUCUUCGUAUAAACGUAACGUGUGGAUAGAUGUG